rnacentral:rRNA from 1 species
UACGAAGGGGGCUAGCGUUGCUCGGAAUCACUGGGCGUAAAGCGCACGUAGGCGGCUUUUUAAGUCAGGGGUGAAAUCCUGGAGCUCAACUCCAGAACUGCCUUUGAUACUGGGGAUCUCGAGUCCGGAAGAGGUGAGUGGAACUCCGAGUGUAGAGGUGAAAUUCGUAGAUAUCAGGAGGAAUACCGGUGGCGAAAGCGACUCUCUGGACGGCAACUGACGCUGAGGCACGAAAGCGUGGGGAGCAAACAGG